rnacentral:rRNA from 1 species
GAUGAACGCUGGCGGCGUGCCUAAUACAUGCAAGUCGAGCGAACGGACGAGAAGCUUGCUUCUCUGAUGUUAGCGGCGGACGGGUGAGUAACACGUGGAUAACCUACCCAUAAGACUGGGAUAACUUCGGGAAACCGGGGCUAAUACCGGAUAAUAUUUUGAACCGCAUGGUUCAAAAGUGAAAGACGGUCUUGCUGUCACUUAUGGAUGGAUCCGCGCUGCAUUAGCUAGUUGGUAAGGUAACGGCUUACCAAGGCAACGAUGCAUAGCCGACCUGAGAGGGUGAUCGGCCACACUGGAACUGAGACACGGUCCAGACCCCUACGGGAGGCAGCAGUAGGGAAUCUUCCGCAAUGGGCGAAAGCCUGACGGAGCAACGCCGCGUGAGUGAUGAAGGUCUUCGGAUCGUAAAACUCUGUUAUUAGGGAAGAACAUAUGUGUAAGUAACUGUGCACAUCUUGACGGUACCUAAUCAGAAAGCCACGGCUAACUACGUGCCAGCAGCCGCGGUAAUACGUAGGUGGCAAGCGUUAUCCGGAAUUAUUGGGCGUAAAGCGCGCGUAGGCGGUUUUUUAAGUCUGAUGUGAAAGCCCACGGCUCAACCGUGGAGGGUCAUUGGAAACUGGAAAACUUGAGUGCAGAAGAGGAAAGUGGAAUUCCAUGUGUAGCGGUGAAAUGCGCAGAGAUAUGGAGGAACACCAGUGGCGAAGGCGACUUUCUGGUCUGUAACUGACGCUGAUGUGCGAAAGCGUGGGGAUCAAACAGGAUUAGAUACCCUGGUAGUCCACGCCGUAAACGAUGAGUGCUAAGUGUUAGGGGGUUUCCGCCCCUUAGUGCUGCAGCUAACGCAUUAAGCACUCCGCCUGGGGAGUACGACCGCAAGGUUGAAACUCAAAGGAAUUGACGGGGACCCGCACAAGCGGUGGAGCAUGUGGUUUAAUUCGAAGCAACGCGAAGAACCUUACCAAAUCUUGACAUCCUUUGACAACUCUAGAGAUAGAGCCUUCCCCUUCGGGGGACAAAGUGACAGGUGGUGCAUGGUUGUCGUCAGCUCGUGUCGUGAGAUGUUGGGUUAAGUCCCGCAACGAGCGCAACCCUUAAGCUUAGUUGCCAUCAUUAAGUUGGGCACUCUAAGUUGACUGCCGGUGACAAACCGGAGGAAGGUGGGGAUGACGUCAAAUCAUCAUGCCCCUUAUGAUUUGGGCUACACACGUGCUACAAUGGACAAUACAAAGGGCAGCGAAACCGCGAGGUCAAGCAAAUCCCAUAAAGUUGUUCUCAGUUCGGAUUGUAGUCUGCAACUCGACUACAUGAAGCUGGAAUCGCUAGUAAUCGUAGAUCAGCAUGCUACGGUGAAUACGUUCCCGGGUCU